GACGAACGCUGGCGGCGUGCUUAACACAUGCAAGUCGAGCGGUAAGGCCCUUUCGGGGGUACACGAGCGGCGAACGGGUGAGUAACACGUGGGUGACCUGCCCUUAGCCCUGGGAUAAGCCUGGGAAACUGGGUCUAAUACCGGAUAUGACUCCAUGACGCAUGUUGUGGGGUGGAAAGCCUUGUGCGGCUAGGGAUGGGCCCGCGGCCUAUCAGCUUGUUGGUGGGGUGAUGGCCUACCAAGGCGACGACGGGUAGCCGGCCUGAGAGGGCGACCGGCCACACUGGGACUGAGACACGGCCCAGACUCCUACGGGAGGCAGCAGUGGGGAAUCUUGCGCAAUGGGCGAAAGCCUGACGCAGCGACGCCGCGUGGGGA
rnacentral:rRNA from 1 species